UCAAAAUACGACAAAGGCAGGUUAUUAAAUUGACCCCAACAACCCCCUCAAAUUCAGCUCAAAUUGCAAAACACGUAAGAGUGAAGUGGGAAAAAAGAUGUUGCAGACGCUGUGCAAAACUGAAAGUUAAAACCGUCAGUGGUAAUUUUGUGAAAAGUACUUGGAUGUGCCAGGCUUGUCAAGUAAGCCUCUGCAUUGAUUGCUUUGGAAAACAUCAUGAUGAGAUGAAAAACUAGAAAACAGUUGAAGGCUCUUUACAGAAUGGAAAGUCUAAUAUGAUGUUCAUCUUCAAUUUGUGAUACAAAGACAGUUUCUAAUCAUCUUGAUAAAAUUGUUAUAUAUUUGUAGAUCCAUUGAAAAUAACUUAUAUAAAGCAACACUAUUUAAGCUUUAAAAUUACUCAUUAUGCAUUAAUAAACAAUGAUUUUAAACAUUUUAUAUUUAUGAAGUUACAUUUGAUGAAUCAAUACAGUUUCUGGAGAAUAAUAGUAUUGAAUUUGUUUUACUAUGAAUUUUUAUGCAUAAAAAUAUUUUUAUAAUAGUUGACAAAUUUUGAGUGCUUAUCUCACCCUUAAAUUUAUUUAUACUUUAUUGAAAAAAAUCUCUGAAUCCAAAAAAUAAAAUUUUUUCAUUUCAUAACUUGAUUGCCAGGUAGAAACAUAUAAAGUAAUAAGGAAUCAGUAAAAUUUUUAACUGUAACAUUCCAUAAUUUUGAAUUAUUAUUACAAAGGAUAUACAAUAAAAUAUUUUAUUUUUGAUUGUGAACACCAACAUUUUUCAUUGUGCCUCACAAGUGUUCGUAAUGUUUAAUUUAUUUUUUAUCGUGUAUCUCAUUCACAUAGUUUAUUUUAUUUUACAAAAGCAUUUAUUUAUUGUACUUAUUUUUCGUUUAUGAAUAUUAUGAAUCAAUAUGUUUUCUGAACUGACAUGCCUAAAGUUUGCGCCCAUGAGAAAUUUGCAAAUAUUUGUAAUUGUGCCCCACUAAGAUUUGAAUUGGGGUUCACAAGUGUUCAUAAUUAAUUUUUAGUAUGUACCUCACCCACAUAUUUUAGCUGUCAAAAGCAUUUAUUUAUGCGUAUUUUUCAUUUAUUCAUAUUUUUCAUUAUUUCAUUUCUUCAUUUAUACAGAUUAUGAAUGAAUUGCAUGUAUAUUUUCUGAAAUGACAUGCCUAAAGUCCAUGAGAAAUUUGCAACUAUUUUUAAUUGUACCUCACUAAUAUUUUCGUCUGUGCCUCACAAAUUUUUUAAUGUUUUUCUUAGCAUGUACCUCAUCCAUAUAGUUUAGCGGUCAAAAGCAUUUAUUUUUUCAUUUAUCAAUAUAACGAAUAAAUUAUGCAUGCUUUCUUUCUUUCUUUUUUUUCUAAACUUCCAUGUCUAAAGCUUUAUAUUAUGAGAUAUUGUAUAGUUUUAAUAGUGCCUCAUCAACAUUUUUUAUUAAACCGCACAAGCAUUCAUUAUAUUUUUAUUAGCAUGUUCUUCAUCCGCAAAGUGUAACUGUUUGAUGUUUAGUUAUUGACUGCAUUUGCGUUUUUGAGGGCAUUUAUUUUUACAUAUUUUUUGUUUAUUAAUAUUGAAAAUGAAUUACGCUUGUAUUUUUUGAGCUGAUUGUGCCUUACUAAUAUUUUUAGUAGUGCCUCACCAAUAUUUGUUUUAUUUUUCUUAAUUUGCAUCUCAUUCACACAGCUAAGUUGUCAAAAGCAUUUAUUUAUUUAUUUUACCUAUUUUUCAUUUAUCAAUAUUACGAAUAAAUACAUAUGUUUUUUUUUUCUUAACUGCCACAUCUAAAGCUUUCUCAGCUGAGAUGUUGUAAGUAGUUUUAAUAGUGCCUCAUCAACAUUUUUUAUUGUACCUCGCAAGUGUUCAUAAUGUUUUUCUUGGUAUGCACUUCAUCCACAAAAUAUAACAUUUUCGACUUACUAAAAACAUAAUUGUGUGUGAAUACAAAGUAAAUUUUAAUUUUCUUUGUGAUGUGACUUAUAAAAAAGAAUUAUAUGGAAGUUUUUGGAUAUCAAUUAAGUUAUUUUUUUAUGUUGUUAAUUAUUUUCAAUGGUGCCGAAAAAGUAAAAGAAAAAAAGGAGAUAAAAAUAUGUAUUUCUUUAAAUAGCCAUUAUUAAUUAUGUAUAGAUUUUUUUUAUUAUUUAUUUAUUACUUUUUUACAGUUAUAUUGUCAGAAUCAAUACUCUGGUUUUCUUACAAUAUUUACUUAUUACACUUGACAAUAAUCACUGUUUGCAUUUAAAAUGUGAAAAUGUCUGUUUUUCUUUCAUUUAUAGAAGGAUUUUCAUCAGGAACACUAUUUCCCUGAUUUUUAGUACACAGUAAGAUCAUUUCUUAAUUUUUCAUCAUUUCUUAAUUCAAACUUAUGUUAGAGGUUUGUUAAAUAGUAGAGAACUACCAUUGUGUAAUCAUAUUCCUUUUCUUUUGGUAUUUUGGAGUUAACAGAAUAAAUGGUGGAAGGUAACCAGCUGAUAGUGAAGAAAAAAUAUGCUAAUUUGUGUUAUGGAUAAAAAGAAACCUGAUAGUGUGAUACCUUUUCAAAUCAUUAGGCAGGUGAAAACGAGUCUGAAUAUAAUAAAUUGAAGAUUUCAAAGGAAUCUUCAUUCAAAGGUGAGAAAGGUUUAACUGCAACUGAAAUUUUUUUUUAUUCAUGAAUAAAUGUAGUUUAGAAAAGUUAAAAUAAAUAAAAAUAUGCUUGUAUGAAUUUAAAAUGAAGGGAUUCUUAAAGAAUUUAUAAUUAUGCUUAAGAAAGAUGUAUACUUUACUUUUACGAUGAUUAUCUUCAUAUUUAAAUGUGAAAAAAUUUAAAAUAAAAUUAAAUAUUUUUAA